rnacentral:rRNA from 1 species
GAUGAACGCUGGCGGCGUGCCUAAUACAUGCAAGUCGAGCGAAUGGAUUAAGAGCUUGCUCUUAUGAAGUUAGCGGCGGACGGGUGAGUAACACGUGGGUAACCUGCCCAUAAGACUGGGAUAACUCCGGGAAACCGGGGCUAAUGCCGGAUAACAUUUUGAACCGCAUGGUUCGAAAUUGAAAGGCGGCUUCGGCUGUCACUUAUGGAUGGACCCGCGUCGCAUUAGCUAGUUGGUGAGGUAACGGCUCACCAAGGCAACGAUGCGUAGCCGACCUGAGAGGGUGAUCGACCACACUGGGACUAAGACACGGCCCAGAAUCCUACGGGAGGCAGCAGUAGGGAAUCUUCCGCAAUGGACGACAGUCUGACGGAGCAACGCCGCGUGAGUGAUGAAGGCUUUCGGGUCGUAAAACUCUGUUGUUAGGGAAGAACAAGUGCUAGUUGAAUAAGCUGGCACCUUGACGGUACCUAACCAGAAAGCCACGGCUAACUACGUGCCAGCCGCCGCAGUAA